GCCACAGCUCUGUGAUAGGUCUCCCACACCUGGGCAGAAAGUUGGCUCCCCUACGGCCAGCGGGAGGUUUGUCAUUGUCUUCGGUGGCUGGACUGGGACGGGGGAAAGCAGGUGCAGCUCCGGGGGGAUGGAGACAAACUGCCUUGUUUUCCUAAUAGGCGCCCAUCAGCUUUGGGGUCUGGGUGUCCAUUUUCUAAGGAAUCACAGGGGCUCGGGUACAGAGAACAAUUCUGACCAAAAUGAGCUCCAGCAGUCACUACUCUCAGCCAUGGCCCAUGAGUCACCUGCUGUGUACAGAGAUACCAACAUAGUCCAUUUCUGUGGGCUGCUGUCAGAGAGGACCUCGGUUACCUGCUCCUGUGCAGAGUCACUAGUAUAGUUCACUUCUCUAGGGCAGGAUCCCACAUGCCACUGGAGUCGGCCUGCUGCUGUUUAUAAUUGCUCACGGAGUCAACAUCAGGGAGCGUGGUAAGAGCUGCAUGAGAGAGACAGCGAUUCUGGUUAGUAGGAAACCUGAGAAAUGGGGUAACUUGUCAGAGUGAUUUCUGGCUGGGCAACGGACUUGAGGUAAUGGUCCUGCAAAUGUAUCCUGAAUUCCUGGGGUUUGGGGGAAUUUGUCUUGAAUUCUUCCUAAGAAAGAGCAACAUGAUUCCUUCUUCUCCUGGGGCAUUAGUGUUCAGCCAAGCCUAUGAUGGUUAAAAUUCAUCCCCGUGCGAGGGUCAGUGCCAAAGCACUGCUUUCUUUCUAUUUUGUCAUCUUUUCAUAAUACUGAAGGGUGAUGAGCCUCUGUGCUGGUUUUCAGUUCAGGAGUGAAUUUUAUUCUUUCUGAAUAUAGCUGCUGUUGGAAGACUUACUCAUUGCUGUCUUUGCUUGGAUUUCUAGCAAGGGGAGAGAGGAAAGAGGAAGCGCUGCAUUCAGAAAAGGUCUCAUUUCAGAACUGAAAUGCUGUCCUUACCCUUUAUUGGUUGAUGUAAUUUGUAAGCUGAUGCUGUAGUUGCUGUAUCAAAUGAAUUUAGUAAUCACAAUGUAUUCAGCAGAGUACAGCGCACAAAAAAGUGGCUCCCUGCUCUGAAGGGUUUCGCAUCUAAAAGCACAGAGGCACUGUGGAAAAUCCAGAGGUGGAAGUGUAACUGUUGGACAAGCAAACAUACUUCUUGUGGAUACUAGGGAAGAAGCUGGUUUUAUUAACAGCCAACAUUGCUGUGUGUCGGUGGUGUAGUUCUUGACCUGCCUUACCAGUGUGCUGCUGGCUCCCUCCAAGAUCCCAAGUUCCCUGACUGAACCCCGGUGUUCUGCUCGUCCCAUCUCUUUUCUCAGGAGAGUCCGAGGCACGAGAUAAAAAUGAGGAUAAAAGUGCAGAUAACAGUCGUGCUGCUGUUUUUCCAUUAACCCAGUCCCCAAUGGGUUACCCCAGCUGCAUGCUCCUCAGCUUCACAGGCUGAAAAAUGUUCCUGACAAAGAAGCAAGGGACGUCGUCUGCCAGAGAGGGGUGGAAGGAGAAUGGCCGUGGUUACAAGGUACGUAAUUGCACUGGGAAAUUGGGCAAGGUCAGAGAGGAAGAACCUGUGAUGCUUGUACACUGCUACAAGAAGCUUCAACAAUGAACUGUUGGACUAGAACUUCAGUUGUGACGUGGCGGUGAUCCUGGGAUGG